rnacentral:tRNA from 1 species
GCCUGGGUGGCUCAGUUGGUUGAGCAUCUGACUUCAGCUCAGAUCAGGCUCUCGUGGCUGGUGGGUUUGAGCCCCCCAUUGGGCU